rnacentral:tRNA from 1 species
AAGAUUCUAGUAAAACAUAUUACACUGCCUUGUCAAGACAAAAUUGUGAGUUUAAAUCUCACGAAUCUUAUCUCA